rnacentral:rRNA from 1 species
GGGGAAUAUUGCACAAUGGAGGAAACUCUGAUGCAGCGACGCCGCGUGAGCGAAGAAGGUCUUCGGAUCGUAAAGCUCUGUCCUAUGGGACGAUAAUGACGGUACCAUAGGAGGAAGCCCCGGCUAACUACGUGCCAGCAGCCGCGGUAAUACGUAGGGGGCGAGCGUUGUCCGGAAUGACUGGGCGUAAAGGGUACGUAGGCGGCUAGGUAAGUCAGAUGUGAAAGGCAUGGGCUCAACCCAUGUUAGCAUAUGAAACUGCUUAGCUUGAGUUAAGGAGAGGAAAGUGGAAUUCCUGGUGUAGCGGUGAAAUGCGUAGAUAUCAGGAGGAAUACCAGUGGCGAAGGCGACUUUCUGGACUUAAACUGACGCUGAGGUACGAAAGCGUGGGGAGCAAAC